UCAUUCUCUGGUUUUUUUUUUUUUUUUCCUCUUCAAAAAUUUUCUUUCCUCAUCGAUCUCUAUUUCCAAGGGUCUUGCCGGGGUUUAUCCAUUUUCCUCCGUCAAAUUUCUUUUUUCCAUUUUCGUUUGAAUUCUUGGAUUCCCUCCAUCUCGCUGACUUCCUGUAAACCCUAACGAUCUUCUUCUUAGGGUUUUAAUUUUGUUGUUCCAUCCUGGAGUCUUCUCGGCUUUGAAGUAUCUGUGUUAAUCGAAGAUUCCAUAUCACUUGUUGGAAAGCUCGGGGGAAUCUGUGCUUUUCUUGGCUAAUUUUGUGAGUUUCUUCCGGCUUACUGGUUCUUCAUUUUGAAUUUUUGAUAGACCUGCUUCUUUCGGUUUCGUUUUGAAGUCUCUGCAAUUACGGGUCUCAGAGGGAGGGAAUCCUUUUCUCCCCCGCGGACUUUCAAGGAACUGCUGGCCUGCUCUUUCAAUUUUGAAUUUCGAGCGCGUUUUUUUCCCCCCAUUUGGUAUUAAUAGGCCAGAUGAGAGCGGUUACUUUUCUGAUAUGACGUUUGAUUGGAAGGUGUUUGAUUUUAGUGCUUAGUAAUGGGGUGAAUCACGCAGGCCCAGUGAAAGCUAUAAAUGACUCGAGGAUUUGAAUAUGAGCCAUGGAGGUGGGAAAAUUACGAGAGAGAUUGAAAAUCAGGUGGAUCGUUUUAGAAGAGCUGGAGCUGAUGAUUUUGGGCGAGCGGCGUCGAAGAUUGCAGCAGCACAGAUAUGCCAGAGUCUGGGAUUUCAGGGAUCGAAGGAGUCUGCUUUGGACACGCUGGCGGAAAUUGUAAUAGUGUAUCUUAGUAACGUGGGAAAGAUGGCCAAUUUCUAUUCUAACUUAGCUGGAAGAACUGAGUGUAAUGUGUUUGACAUUGUUAGAGGACUUAAAGAUUUAGAAGCACUUGGGUCUAGUCAAGAUGCUGAGGUUAGCCGUUGUCUUGCAGGUUCACGUUCAAUUCAAGAAAUUUUGGAGUAUAUGUAUUCGGUGCAAGAAAUUCCAUUUGCUCAGCCAGUGCCGCAGUUUCCUAUUAUUAAGAACUGCAACGUGCUGCCGAGUUUCAUUCAAAUGAGGGAAACACCUCCUAGUAAACAUAUACCCAAUUGGCUACCUGCUUUUCCUGAUCCCCACACUUACAUAUAUACGCCAGUGUGGAAUAAGAGAACAACAGACCCUCGCACCGACAAGAUUGAGCAAGCAAAGCAGAGGAGAAAGGCAGAGAAGUCGUUGUUAAGUCUGCAGCAGCGGUUGGUUGUUGAUACUGGCAAUAUAGAGGAAGAAUUACCUAUUUUGAAUAGUAACACAUCCCAUGAUUCAGAAUUGCAACCGAGGAAGGAUGCUGUUUCUGUGGCCAAAUUGCCUCUUAAACAUUCAGAUCAUGUGUUUGAUGACAGUGGUUCUGUGUUAGAGGCAUUUGCUCCGGUCUUAGAAGCUGUUAAAGGCAGUGGCGUUUAUGACGAGGAAGAGGGUGAGAAGAAGGAUCUUCCCACUAUUAGGUAUCCUGUUCAAUUUAAGUUCAAAACUGGGAAGAAGCUUCUUGGUGAUUCUUUGGAUUUGAACAUUCAAAAGAAAGGAAUUAGUAGAACAACAGUCUUGGUUGGACGGUAUGAUGAAAGGGAUGAUAGGAAACGAAGAGCUGAAUACAUUCUUAGGAAGUCUAUGGAGAACCCGCAAGAACUCAAUCAGUUGUGAAUAAAUAUAUUGACUGGCGUUGGUAAUUUAAUCUAGGAUUUUUUCAGAGAUGCAAAUGCUUGUGAAAAUUUUAUCGAGAAGGUCUCGGUCUCUGUCUCUUUUCAUCUCUCACAUUGUGUUUUCAACUGUUUGUUCUGUUAUUGAGUUGUGAUAUUGAAUCUUUUGGCUCCUUGGUUUGUGAACUUUGUAGUCAAAGUCCAAUUUCCCUUUUUGCAGUAUAAAAUGCAUACAAGAAAGGAGGAUGUUGAAUUCAAGCUUAAUGAAACCAUGAAACUACCGGAUUUCUUUUUGCAGGACCAAAUUCUCCUUUAGUUUUUUCUUCAUGGCACAGGUAUGAUUCGAAGGUUACUAUUUCUCUACUUUACUGCUUUCAGAUUUGAUUUAUGCUUUUUAUGACUUAGAUUUACCAAACCUGAUCUUCCCUAGGAAACCUACUGAACGUUUCUGAAUGGUAUGAUUUGUCCUUAAGAGUAAAACAUUAAGCUGCAGCUAAAAAGAUAUCAGAUCCUAGUUUGGAUAUUGUAACCAUGAUUUGUCUCGAGAGAACAGUCGAGAUGCGUGCAAGUUAGUAAGAACGCUCACAGAUAUAAAAUAAAAGAACGCCACCUUAGACCUGCAUCAUGAAUGAAUUUAGAUAGGUGGACACUUUACUUUUAUCAUAUCUGUUAAGCAAAAGGAGGGGCAAGAAUGAGCCAAAAUGAGUUAUAGCUGUUGAAGUAGUACUGUAAGAUCUCUGCAUAUUCCUGUGUUUUAUUAUUGUUCUUUCAACUGUAAUGCUCAAAUAAUGUGUUUGUUUUCUUCCUUAAUGUUGUCUGGAAGGUGAACUAUUGAUCGACCCGUUUAAUGUUCGAUUUUGUGGAGUUGGAUAAGGAUAGGAUUUGAGAUACAAGUUUCAAAGUUGUCUAUGGAAUUUUUUUUCUUUUUAUGUUGCUUUCUGCUGUGUCUUCUUAGAACAAACAUCCUUGCUUUAUACCCAGACUACUUUCUUGGAGGCUUUUUGAUAAAUUAAGCAUUGGAAUGUCAUGCUACAAAAUGGUUUCCGAGCUGACCCUUUGCGACAUGCUUGUCGAUCCUACCGAAAAACAGAAAUUUAAGUUAUGCCUUGUUGUCCAAUCCCCAUACAUCGACCUUGUCAAGUUUCAAUGGGAAAUAUUUGAAUCCGA